CAGGGGGCGGGGCCUGCAGAAGCGGCUCGGAGUGUUCUGGAAGUGGCAGGAGCACGACUCCCUUAACUCUGGUGCAGGGUUUACCUCGGCUCCCUCGGGACGGGUUCCGUGCAGCUCCUGCUUCCUCCCUUCUCUUUCCCAGUGCCAUCCCUGGCGAGGGGGAAAAAAAAAAACACGGCCAGGAGACUUCCCACCCCUGCUUUGCUAUUUUUGUACCUCCGUGACAGAAAAACAAAACCCUGAGGAAAAGUCAGGCGACUUCAUUCCCUGCCGUCCGCGCCGGGGCCUCGACUACUGCUGGCGUCCGCGGCUUUCGCCCGCCGCUCCACAGGCGAGUUUUAAGAGAUUUCUCACAAUUGUCAAGUCCGCAAGUCUCCGUGCGUUUGCUUUUAUUUGGGCCGUGCGUUCAAAUGCGCUCAUAAUUCUUUCUGACCCUCAGAGGGGCCCUGAAGUAGGUGACAAAUUUGCCUUGGAUCCAACUGGGUGGUUUUAUGAUUAAAAAAAAAAAAACAGACAAAGCAGUUUUAAGUCUCUACAAAUCUGGUUUGAGUGGCGCUGGACCUAACUCCCCUCUGCAGUAACGCUGUCAAAUAAACAAACGGAGUUUAUGUGGAGAUAGUUGGCCAGCGACACCCAAAAACACUUCUGAGCGUCUUGCACCUGGCCCCGCGAACCGCUCACCACAAAACAAACCUGCACCUGGGCACUUCCCCAGCCAAGAACUCGAUUUUUUUAAAACUGAACUCUAAAUGUAGCUUCUUAGAUGUUGUAUCACAGUCUUUCCUAAGCACCGAAUUUACACAUGAAAUGAUUUAAGGAACGAAGAGCACUAGGCUUUUUAAGCCAGAAGGAUAAUAGCCAUUAUUUUAACCUUAUCAAUUGGAUAAGAUCCCGGGGGCGGAAGAGGGGAGAAAUCCAAGGAAUUGCAGUCAUAACAAAGCGUAAUCCGUAACAUAGAUAACUGGAAUUGGAAAAUUAGCUACUCGUUCCUGGUUCUUCUAGUAGAUUGUGAUAUUACUGAAAUAAUUUUUAUGACCAGCUGCAUUUAUUGGAGCUAUAUUUUUUUAAUUACUGAAUAAUUGCACCUCGAUAUGGGGCAAGGGAAGAAUUUUAGGAAAUUGAUUUACUUUCAUUGUAAUAAAAAUUGUAAGCUAAUGAUGUGUUGUGAAAAAUAAUUAAAUCAGUAAGUAUUUAUUGGAUAUUUACCAUAUUCAAAGGACUGUCCUAGUCCCUGGGGACAGAAAUGCAAAAAUGAAUAAAGUAUUUUUUAAAGUUU
ensembl:lncRNA novel transcript